rnacentral:lncRNA from 1 species
UUUUCCUUUUUCUAUUUUUUCUUUUUCUUUUUCUUCUGAAAUUUCAUCAGACAUAAUAGUGGAAUCUAGUGCAUUAAUUUCUUUUUGUGUCUUACUGAUCUCUAUUUGUAAAUCUUUCAACUUUUUCUUGAGUAACUUCCGUUGCUCCAUAGAUAGCUUUCUAAGUGCUUCCAUUCCCUAGUUAGGGUAUCCGCUAAAUUAUUCUCUUCUCCUUUUAUGUGUAUUGCAACAAAAUCAAACUCCUGAG